ensembl:miRNA
GCUUCUCCUCCCCAACAAUAUCCUGGUGCUGAGUGAGUUGCACACGGAGACUCCAGCAUCAGUGAUUUUGUUGAAGAGGGCGAGC